rnacentral:rRNA from 1 species
GUGAGUAACACGUGAGUAACCUGCCCUUGACUCUGGAAUAAGCGUUGGAAACGACGUCUAAUACUGGAUACGAGCUUCAGCCGCAUGGCUAGGAGCUGGAAAGAAUUUCGGUCAAGGAUGGACUCGCGGCCUAUCAGGUAGUUGGUGAGGUAAUAGCUCACCAAGCCUACGACGGGUAGCCGGCCUGAGAGGGUGACCGGCCACACUGGAACUGAGACACGGUCCAGACUCCUACGGGAGGCAGCAGUGGGGAAUAUUGCACAAUGGGCGAAAGCCUGAUGCAGCAACGCCGCGUGAGGGACGACGGCCUUCGGGUUGUAAACCUCUUUUAGUAGGGAAGAAGCGAAAGUGACGGUACCUGCAGAAAAAGCACCGGCUAACUACGUGCCAGCAGCCGCGGUAAUACGUAGGGUGCAAGCGUUAUCCGGAAUUAUUGGGCGUAAAGAGCUCGUAGGCGGUUUGUCGCGUCUGCUGUGAAAACUGGAGGCUCAACCUCCAGCCUGCAGUGGGUACGGGCAGACUAGAGUGCGGUAGGGGAGAUUGGAAUUCCUGGUGUAGCGGUGGAAUGCGCAGAUAUCAGGAGGAACACCGAUGGCGAAGGCAGAUCUCUGGGCCGUAACUGACGCUGAGGAGCGAAAGCAUGGGGAGCGAACAGGAUUAGAUACCCUGGUAGUCCAUGCCGUAAACGUUGGGAACUAGAUGUAGGGACCAUUCCACGGUUUCUGUGUCGCAGCUAACGCAUUAAGUUCCCCGCCUGGGGAGUACGGCCGCAAGGCUAAAACUCAAAGGAAUUGACGGGGGCCCGCACAAGCGGCGGAGCAUGCGGAUUAAUUCGAUGCAACGCGAAGAACCUUACCAAGACUUGACAUAUACGAGAACGGGCUAGAAAUAGUUCACUCUUUGGACACUCGUAAACAGGUGGUGCAUGGUUGUCGUCAGCUCGUGUCGUGAGAUGUUGGGUUAAGUCCCGCAACGAGCGCAACCCUCGUUUUUUUGUUGCCAGCACGUAAUGGUGGGGAACUCCAAAGGAAAAUGGCCGGGGGUCAACUCCGGAGGGAGG